rnacentral:rRNA from 1 species
GAUGAACGCUAGCUACAGGCUUAACACAUGCAAGUCGAGGGGUAACGAGAGGAAAGCUUGCUUUCCUUGUCGACGACCGGCGCACGGGUGAGUAACGCGUAUCCAACCUGCCCCCAACUAAGGAAUAACCUUGCGAAAGUAAGACUAAUACCUUAUACUUUCCUCAGAUGACAUCUGACGAGGAAUAAAGAUUUAUCGGUUGUGGAUGGGGAUGCGUCUGAUUAGCUUGUUGGCGGGGUAACGGCCCACCAAGGCAACGAUCAGUAGGGGUUCUGAGAGGAAGGUCCCCCACAUUGGAACUGAGACACGGUCCAAACUCCUACGGGAGGCAGCAGUGAGGAAUAUUGGUCAAUGGGCGGAAGCCUGAGCCAGCCAAGUAGCGUGCAGGAUGACGGCCCUAUGGGUUGUAAACUGCUUUUAUACAGGAAUAAAGUUAGCCACGUGUGGUUAUUUGUAGGUACUGUAUGAAUAAGGACCGGCUAAUUCCGUGCCAGCCGCCGCCGUAA